rnacentral:rRNA from 1 species
GUGAUCCGGUGGUUCUGUAUGGAAGGGCCAUCGCUCAACGGAUAAAAGGUACUCCGGGGAUAACAGGCUGAUACCGCCCAAGAGUUCAUAUCGACGGCGGUGUUUGGCACCUCGAUGUCGGCUCAUCACAUCCUGGGGCUGUAGUCGGUCCCAAGGGUAUGGCUGUUCGCCAUUUAAAGUGGUACGCGAGCUGGGUUCAGAACGUCGUGAGACAGUUCGGUCCCUAUCUGCCAUGGGCGUUGGAGAUUUGAGAGGGGCUGCUCCUAGUACGAGAGGACCGGAGUGGACGAACCUCUGGUGUUCCGGUUGUCACGCCAGUGGCAUUGCCGGGUAGCUAUGUUCGGAAGCGAUAACCGCUGAAAGCAUCUAAGCGGGAAGCGCGCCUCAAGAUGAGAUCUCCCGGGGCACAAGCCCCCUGAAGGAACCAUGUAGACUACGUGGUUGAUAGGUCAGGUGUGUAAGUACAGCAAUGUAUUGAGCUAACUGAUACUAAUGAUCCGUGCGGCUUGACCAU